rnacentral:rRNA from 1 species
AGCGAACGCUGGCGGCAGGCCUAACACAUGCAAGUCGAACGAACCCUUCGGGGUUAGUGGCGGACGGGUGAGUAACACGUGGGAACGUGCCUUUAGGUUCGGAAUAACUCAGGGAAACUUGUGCUAAUACCGAAUGUGCCCUUCGGGGGAAAGAUUUAUCGCCUUUAGAGCGGCCCGCGUCUGAUUAGCUAGUUGGUGAUGUAAUGGCUCACCAAGGCUACGAUCAGUAGCUGGUCUGAGAGGAUGACCAGCCACAUUGGGACUGAGACACGGCCCAAACUCCUACGGGAGGCAGCAGUGGGGAAUCUUGCGCAAUGGGCGAAAGCCUGACGCAGCCAUGCCGCGUGGAUGAUGAAGGUCUUAGGAUUGUAAAAUCCUUUCACCGGUGAAGAUAAUGACUGUAGCCGGAGAAGAAGCCCCGGCUAACUUCGUGCCAGCAGCCGCAGUAAUAC